rnacentral:rRNA from 1 species
UGACCUCGGAUCAGGUAGGAAUACCCGCUGAACUUAAGCAUAUCAAUAAGCGGAGGAAAAGAAACCAACAGGGAUUGCCCUAGUAACGGCGAGUGAAGCGGCAACAGCUCAAAUUUGAAAUCUGGCUACUUUGUAGUCCGAGUUGUAAUUUGUAGAGGAUGCUUUUGGUGAGGUGCUUUCUGAGUUCCCUGGAACGGGACGCCAGAGAGGGUGAGAGCCCCGUACAGUUAGCAACCGAUCCUUUGUAUAGCUCCUUCGACGAGUCGAGUAGUUUGGGAAUGCUGCUCUAAAUGGGAGGUAUAUCUCUUCUAAAGCUAAAUAUAGGCUAGAGACCGAUAGCGCACAAGUAGAGUGAUCGAAAGAUGAAAAGCACUUUGAAAAGAGAGUUAAACAGCACGUGAAAUUGUUGAAAGGGAAGCGCCUAUGACCAGACUUGUUUCUAUCAGUUUUGGUAGUUUUCGGACUGCUUUACUCUGUUAGUACAGGCCAACAUCAGUUUGUUGUCGGGGAGAAAGGCUUAGGGAAUGUGGCUCCCUCGGGAGUGUUAUAGACCUUUGCAUAAUACCCU